CAGGCCUAACACAUGCAAGUCGAACGGGGUAGCAAUACCUAGUGGCGCACGGGUGAGUAACGCGUGGAUAAUCUGCCUUGGAGUGGGGGAUAACUAGUCGAAAGAUUAGCUAAUACCGCAUAAGACCACAGGAGCUGCGGCUCUAGGGGUCAAAGGUUUUUCGUUCCAAGAUGAGUCCGCGUAAGAUUAGCUAGUUGGUGAGGUAAUGGCUCACCAAGGCGACGAUCUUUAACUGGUCUGAGAGGAUGAUCAGUCACACUGGAACUGAGACACGGUCCAGACUCCUACGGGAGGCAGCAGUAGGGAAUAUUGCACAAUGGAGGAAACUCUGAUGCAGCGACGCCGCGUGAGUGAUGAAGGCCUUCGGGUCGUAAAGCUCUGUCGCAGGGGAAUAACACAAUGAAUGUACCCUGUAAGAAAGGAUCGGCUAACUUCGUGCCAGCAGCCGCGGUAAGACGAGGGAUCCUAGCGUUGUUCGGAAUUAUUGGGCGUAAAGCGGAUGUAGGUGGCUUUGUAAGUCAGAUGUGAAAGCCCAGGGCUCAACCCUGGAAGUGCAUUUGAUACUGCGAAGCUUGAGUGUCGGAGAGGUUACUAGAAUUGUUGGUGUAGUGGUGAAAUACGUAGAUAUCAACAGGAAUACCGGAGGCGAAGGCGGGUAACUGGCCGAACACUGACACUGAGAUCCGAAAGCGUGGGGAUCAAACAGGAUUAGAUACCCUGGUAGUCCACGCCGUAAACGAUGGAUACUUGUUGUUGGAGGUAUUGACCCCUUCAGUGACG
rnacentral:rRNA from 7 species